AGGAUCUGUUUCUCAUUGAGGGCCAUGGUCUCUCCUCUCCUCUUCUUCACUUGGGUCUUCUGCAGCUUCUUGCAGGCGUACAUCUUCCCCGUGGCACGCACCUGGCAUGCCCACACCUGUACACGACAACAGGAAGGAAGCGGUCAAAGAACAUGCUCUCCUGGUACUGGAGGAAUGGACCCCCACUCAGCUGCUUGUGGAGGUGUUCCCGAUUCCUGGGGGGUGGAGCUACGACUACUUAAGGCGUGGCCUGUGCUCCCGAGGGGUCUCUCUCAUUCUGGCGUCUUCACGUUGACCCGAGCUGCCUUUGAAUCCUGCUUGGAGGACUGCUAUUGUUUUUUUUCGCAUUUGUUUUAUAUAGCGGAGGAUGGGAGCUGUAGGGAGGAAGUGCUGGCUUCGACGGCCCAAUGCGUGGCUGGCCCAGGCUUCGUCCAACCCUUUUGUUUCUUUAAUCAGUGUCCUUUUGUUGGAAGAUCUGUGAAAUAAACGUCACCAUCAUUGUGAUCGGGAA